UUAAAAUCAGCCGGAAUCAGGAAUUCAGGUUAAGGGAAAAAUCUUCAAUCUUUAUUGAAGUGAAGAGGUGAAAAAGGAUUGGGAUAGUAAUAUGGGCAAGAAGGAUUGUGAUAGCAUUAUGGGCAGCUGCGAUAAGAAGCCAGCUAGCAGAGGGGGAUUGGAGAUGAAAGGCUGUAGCAAUACCUCCUCAGGGAGGUCAGAGCCCCCAAGGGGAGGUGAUCACGACCCCCCUGACUUCUCAGGAAGGGAGGUGAAAGCACUAAAAAGGAGAUAAUCAUGUCCACUCUGACAUCUCAGGAAGGGAGAUGAAAAGCACCAAAGGGAAGUGAGGGUUGCUAGCAGGUUUCUGAGCUGAAGGGUCUUAUUAUGCACAAACCCAUCAGCAUGGGAAGUAUUACACAAGCACAUAGCAACAACACAGAGUCUAUUAGUGAUGACUCUCCCCACAGUCAGUGCAGGCUUGAUGUGGUGUAACAAACAUGAAUUGUACACUCAAAUAACGGUAUAACAAACAAUAUAAAUCAACAUGGUGUUGUAAAAGAUUGCCAGAAGUCCUAGAAGGAGAGUAUGUAAACAGCAGUCACACAUACGCCUUCUUCAGCAGCCAAGAGAUAGUCCAAAACCAAUCUAUUGUCCAUUGCUUCACAUGUCAGGGAAUCCAAUGAUCCCCCCAAGUUUUUGAAGUCCUGUAAAAGUUUUUUUAUGUGUUAGGGAAUCCAAUGAUUCCAGCAGAUUUUGAAGUCCUGUAAAAGUCUUAUCAUUUCUCAGAAAAUCCAAUGAUUCCUGAAGGCUUUCAAGUCCUACAAUAAUCUUGUCUCAGAGAAUCCAAUGAUUCCUGAGGGUUUUGAACAAUUUUCUAUGUUCAUGAGUCAAACGCCAUAACUGCCAUGCUCUUUCAAUGGUGAGUACAAUCAGCAACAGAACCACCCGAUAUUUCUUGGGUCUUCUCCUUCGUUUCAAGGGUCUACUCUGUCUCUCUGCGAUGGACAAGGCGAAUAUGGCUCAUUGGCACCCAUCUGAUUCCUUCUCCACCUGUAGAGAUACAAGCAAACCCUCUCCUCCAAACAGUUAGCCUAUCCGGUCCUUCCAUUCACCACUUUCUGGGUCUCUCCACAUCACCUGGCGAUUAUCUAAAGUUAGUGGAGCUGCUCGCACUGGACACUGCCCUUCUAGUGGGUUAUAAAACCUGUCUGCCGGAGCCGGCAGACUUUGUCAAAAAUCAAGAUGUUAAUAGUAUAAAGGGUUAGAUUUAGUAGUUCUCUAGAGUUAUCUUUGGCUCCCCCUUUCUUUUGUUUUUGGAGCAGCAUCUUAAUGUCUCUGGUUCUCCUCUCUACUAUUGCCUGACCUUGAGGAUUAAAGGGUAUGCCAGUGGUGUGUAAAAUCUUAUACUGUGCACAAAAGUGUGCAAAAUGUUUGGAAGUAUAUGCAGGUCCAUUAUCUGUUUUUAUUGCUUGUGGCACACCCAUAAUUGUGAAUACUUGGAUGAGGAAUUCAGUGACCACUCGGGCUGUCUCUUUUGCUGCUGGUAUUGCAAAAGUGAAUCCUGAAAAGAUGUCUACCACUACAUGGAUAAAAGACAGACGACCGAAAGAUUUAUAAUGGGUCACAUCCAUUUGCCAGAUUUCAUUGGGUCUCAAACCACGAGGGUUCUUCCCUGGAGGCAGUGUAGGAGCGUGGAAAGGAAGGCAAGCUGUACAGCUUUUUACUAUGCUCCUAGCUUCCUCUUUUGUAAUCCCAAAUUGUAAACACAAAGCUCGAGCAGCCUGAUGGUAUUUAAUGGGAUUCCUGGGCCUCCUGAAAUAAAGGUGUACUGGCUAACAUAGUUAAAAGGCUAUCUGCCUUUGAAUUCCCAUCAAAAAUAGGACCUGGAAGUCCACUAUGUGAGUGGACAUGCAAGAUAUAAAUCUUUCCUGAAUGCUUUCUCACUUGCUCUUGAAGUUCCUUAAAGAGCUGAUAUAUAUUAGGAGCUACAAAUUUUAUUUAGGCUGUGGCAAUUCUUUGUACCACACCUAUUGAAUAGGCUGAAUCAGAUAUUAUAUUUAUGUCUCCUGGGUAAUAAGUGAUAGUCUGCAAACCUCAUUAGCAUUUUCCUUAUCAAGUUGCCUUAUCAAAAUGUCUGUUAUUGCAUUUUUUCCAUUUGUUCUUGUGAUAGCUGUCUGCAAACGUCCCACAAAGUCAAAAAAAGCUUCAUUUGGCCCUUGUGUUAUUUUUGUGAAGCCCCCCCCCCUUGUCAUCUUUAUUGUGGAGAGAAGCCACGCUUUGAUAGCAUUAGCAGCAAUUUGCUCAUAUGCUGCUAUAGAAUAAUUAAUCUGUACUGCAACGUCUGCAUAAGGACCUACACCUGUUAGUAGAUCACAGGUGAUUGCAGCAUGAACUCCACUUUGACUAUUUUGUUGGGCUUGUAUCCUACAGAGUUCACUAUAUUCAGAAAGCCACAAGUAGUUUUGUCCAGGUUUUGUCCAAGGUUUGUCCUUGCUAUAGAUUUCCAGUCAUUAGGGGUCAAGAUUUCAAAAGCCAAAUUCUGUAAUAACAUCUUAACAUUAGCUGAUGUAGCCCCAUAAAGAGUGCAAGCCUUUUUCAGGUCUUUGAGGAUUUCUAUAUCAAAAGGAGCGUAUUUUCUACUUUCUUGACCUGAAGAAUUAAACUGUUGAAUUACAGGAAAAA